UGGAAGGAAGAAAGCUCGGGGUUAUGGUU
rnacentral:piRNA from 1 species